UCUUAUGGAUGAGCAAAGACAGUGGUUUCUGAAGAAAGAAUAUACUCCUGGUGAAGGUGCUAUGAA
rnacentral:pre_miRNA from 3 species